UGUGAAGACAGAUACAGUGUACUCAUA
rnacentral:piRNA from 1 species